rnacentral:rRNA from 1 species
ACGGCGAGUGAAGCGGCAAAAGCUCAAAUUUGAAAUCUGGAGUCUUCGACUUCCGAGUUGUAAUUUGAAGAGGAUGUUUCGGUUGCGGCUUGGGCCCAAGUUCCUUGGAACAGGACGUCAUGGAGGGUGAGAAUCCCGUACGUGGCUACCGGCUUGCUUCUAUGUGAAACUCCUUCGAAGAGUCGAGUUGUUUGGGAAUGCAGCUCAAAAUGGGUGGUAAAUUUCAUCUAAAGCUAAAUAUUGGCGAGAGACCGAUAGCGCACAAGUAGAGUGAUCGAAAGAUGAAAAGCACUUUGAAAAGAGAGUUAAACAGUACGUGAAAUUGUUGAAAGGGAAGCGCUUGCAAUCAGACUCGCUUUCGGUUGAUCAACGUUCCUUUUGGUUCGUGCACUCUGCCGUUUGCGGGCCAGCAUCAGUUGCGGCGGUGGGACAAAGACAGCGGGAAUGUGGCUCCCCUCGGGGAGUGUUAUAGCCCGUUGUGUAAUGCCACCAGCUUCGACUGAGGUCCGCGGUUCGCCUAGGAUGCUGGCUUAAUGGUUGUAAGCGGCCCGUCUUGAAACACGGACCAAGGAGUCUAACAUCUAUGCGAGUCUUUGGGUGUCAAACCCAUAGGCGAAAUGAAAGUGAACGGAGGUGGGAGUCUUCGGAUGCACCAUCGACCGAUCCUGAUGUUCUCGGAUGGAUUUGAGUAGGAGCAUAGCUGUUGGGACCCGAAAGAUGGUGAACUAUGCCUGAAUAGGGUGAAGCCAGAGGAAACUCUGGUGGAGGCUCGCAGCGGUUCUGACGUGCAAAUCGAUCGUCAAAUUUGGGUAUAGGGGCGAAAGACUAAUCGAACCAUCU